AGUUUGAUCCUGGCUCAGGAUGAACGCUGGCGGCGUGCCUAAUACAUGCAAGUCGGACGCAAUGCUUCGGCAUUGAGUGGCGAACGGGUGAGUAAUACAUAAGCAACCUGCCCCUGUGAGGGGGAUAACUGCUGGAAACGGCAGCUAAGACCGCAUAGGCAUACAUGACGCAUGUCGAGUAUGUUAAAUAUCCUACGGGAUAGCACAGGGAUGGGCUUAUGACGCAUUAGCUAGCUGGUGAGGUAGAGGCUCACCAGGGCGACGAUGCGUAGCCGGCCUGAGAGGGUGGACGGCCACACUGGGACUGAGACACGGCCCAGACUCCUACGGGAGGCAGCAGUAGGGAAUUUUCGGCAAUGGGCGAAAGCCUGACCGAGCAACGCCGCGUGAAGGAAGAAGUCAUUCGUGAUGUAAACUUCUGUUAUAAAGGAAGAACGGCGCCUGUAGGGAAUGACAGGCGAGUGACGGUACUUUAUGAGGAAGCCACGGCUAACUACGUGCCAGCAGCCGCGGUAAUACGUAGGUGGCGAGCGUUAUCCGGAAUCAUUGGGCGUAAAGAGGGAGCAGGCGGCAGUGCAGGUCUGCGGUGAAAGCCCGAAGCUAAACUUCGGUAAGCCGUGGAAACCGCACAGCUAGAGAGCAUCAGAGGAUCGCGGAAUUCCAUGUGUAGCGGUGAAAUGCGUAGAUAUAUGGAGGAACACCAGUGGCGAAGGCGGCGGUCUGGGGUGCAGCUGACGCUCAGUCCCGAAAGCGUGGGGAGCAAAUAGGAUUAGAUACCCUGGUAGUCC
rnacentral:rRNA from 1 species